rnacentral:rRNA from 1 species
GUAGGUGGCAAGCGUUGUCCGGAAUUAUUGGGCGUAAAGCGCGCGCAGGCGGUUCUUUAAGUCUGAUGUGAAAGCCCACGGCUCAACCGUGGAGGGUCAUUGGAAACUGGAGAACUUGAGUACAGAAGAGGAAAGCGGAAUUCCACGUGUAGCGGUGAAAUGCGUAGAGAUGUGGAGAAACACCAGUGGCGAAGGCGGCUUUCUGGUCUGUAACUGACGCUGAGGCGCGAAAGCGUGGGGAGCAAACAGGAUUAGAUACCCUGGUAGUCCACGCCGUAAACGAUGAGUGCUAAGUGUUAGGGGGGUUUUCCGCCCCCCUUAGUGCUGCAGCUAACGCAUUAAGCACUCCGCCUGGGAGUACGGCCGCAAGGCUG